GGAAAAGGUCAAUCCAGCCCACAGUUCCCCGACAGUUAUGGGUUUCUUGGCUAAGAUGUCUCCAACGGCCUUUGGGCUCUUGUUAAAAUGAAGAUUCUGGUUCAGUAUGUCUGCGAGGGACUUGAGACUCUGCAUUUCUAACCAGCGCCUAGGGGAUGCCACACAUAGAACCAGUCUCCUAUAAGGUCUGUUACAUUUCCCAGAAUGGUUCCCAGCGCUGGAGAUAAUUCCUUUUCGGAGAACCUACAUUUCUCACCUGCUGAUUGCAAUUAGCCACUGCCAGCUGGGGCCUGGUGUGCAGCUGAAAAGCUAACAAGAAGUGGAGACCACGCGGAACCCAGACAGGGCAGAGGAUGUGAAUAAAUAAGGAAUAGUGCCCGUGUGUAUGAGCCGCUCCCGUGAAUCCAAGGUUUCCUGACCCUCUGGAUGGCCCUCCCUCUUCCGGCUCUGUACUCCCCACCCCUCCCCCUCACUAUUUUAUUUUUAAUAUUUUUUUGGUCUCUGGCUUUGUAGCCUACACUUAACAUCAUGGUCACGAAUUUACCACUAAGUACAUUUUGUUAGGCAAUAAACAGCCUUGGAAGAAAAAUGAAAUCGGACUAGGGCUUCUGUUCCAAUCAUGUUUGUGAGCUGUGGUGGAAUCAGGCGGGCCCUGUGUGCAGGCCCUGGAGCUAACCUCGGAUAUGAGGACUGGCAGGACCUGGAGAGGCCUUGGGGACCACCAGAUCCGAACCCCUUCAUUUUAUGGGCGAGGACAUGGAAUCCCAGAAGGGGGGAGCAUGACUGAUCCAAAGACAUGGAGGAAGUUGCAGGGCUGGCUGAAAUCUACCUCUCCUGACCUCCAGCCCAGUCUCUAACCACUGAACUGCCUUGCCUUUGUCCAUUCUCUAGAGUUUGUGAGGAAAGCACCAAGGAGAUCGCCAACGGUUGGAAGAGGAGGAAACCUGAAGUCAAGGAUGGUAAAGCCACUGUCUCCAGCCACCAACUUCGUCUCCCUGUGAGGCACUCAGGGAAGAAGCCUAACACAAAGUCCGUUCUCCAAAGACAAGCAAUUCUGUGCAGGUUUGAGAUGGCUAAUGCCUCCCCCUUCCUGAGCAUCAGUCCCUCGUGUUUUCCAGAGGCUUAGACAAGACGGUCUCAGACUUUGCAGUGCUAACACGCCAUGCUUCCAUGAACUUGUGAAUUAUGCAAAGUGAUCAGAGUUGUGAGAUGCCUGCACAAUCACCCCCCCCCCCAGGUCUCCUGUGAACUUCCCCAGAGGGGAGCUGACAAAUUGUUAAACGGACUCAUGCAGAAAGUGCAGAAAGUUCCGAGUGUCUAAUGGGGGACCCUGCAGCAUCCUGGAACUUGGGAUCCAUUGGUUGCCUGCCUCUCUGUAAGUCUUAAUAGAUAAAACCAGAAAAAAAUAACUAGGCUUGAGCUGUCUUUUAAAGAGUCUGAGCAAAGAGAAUGCAGGUAAUCUGUAAGGAGGAGGCAAGAGCUUGGAUUCCAGAAGUGAAUGUCCCUGGGGGAGCCUGGGUCGCUCAAUGGGUUAAGCCUCUGCCUUCAGGUCAGGUCAUG